UACGGAGGGUGCAAGCGUUAAUCGGAAUUACUGGGCGUAAAGCGCGCGUAGGCGGUUUAUUAAGUCGGGUGUGAAAUCCCUGGGCUCAACCUAGGAAUUGCAUUCGAUACUGGUAGGCUAGAGUGUGGUAGAGGGAAGUGGAAUUCCAGGUGUAGCGGUGAAAUGCGUAGAUAUCUGGAGGAACAGCAGUGGCGAAGGCGACUUCCUGGACCAACACUGACGCUGAGGCGCGAAAGCGUGGGGAGCAAACAGG
rnacentral:rRNA from 1 species